CUCCCAAAGACCUGCCAGUAAUAUCAGCUGUUUUGUCUAAUACUGCAGCUUUCAGCAAAUCAUGCUCAGACACCAAAGUAAAGGGGGCAUGGUCUGUUCAUCUCAUUUUCUUAGCUGGAUGAAUUUAGAGCUAUUAGACUAUAGUCAAAUGUAAAUGAAUUACCUGUGCUUCAUGGAAAAGAAGUGGAAGAGGUUUUGCAUCUCUGCUUACUUACCCCUUCACAAUGCACUCUCUAAAAUGGUGACACCACUUGGAACUGCAAUCACCUUCUACCGACUAUCGAAGAUGGCAGUGAGUGAAACGGCAUUUUAUUCAAGUUCUAAAGGUCAGUGUGUCUCAAUCCAGGCUGACCCAGAAAAAUGCUAGGAGAAGGAGUUCCGACGUGGGCACACCGUGAGGCUUUGGUUUGUCUGAUCUGACUGCUAAUGUACAUGAUUUUGAGUCAUCUCUGUUACUUGGGCACUUUCUCUGCAGAGGAAACACAGCAAAGCCUUUCCUCACAGACUUAAAUAUCAGUCAGAAAAACGGUUUCAACGGGUACCAACUUGGACAAGAUUCCAAACAGAGUUGAUGCGAUCUGACGGUGGGAUUGGGUGGAGACCCUCAAUUUCUGCAACCUUCUUCAGGGCUUCCUGGACUUUGUCUCCCUUUGAUUUUAGGUGGAUAACACAGCUUGUGAGAAACAGGAGCACGAAGCUGUGGAAGGUAUAUACGUUGAGAUCAGGAAGGUGGUGGCCUCCCUGCAGCUGCACAAUUGUCACGGUGAGAAUGCUGGGACCUGCAUUAUCUCCUUAAGAGCAAGUAAUGGAGCCUCAGAGGUUACCCAUUUCCUAUUAUCACCCUUGAGGAAGUGCAGAGCAAGCUGGGGAGGAGAAGGACAGCCUGGUACUGAUGAGAGAGCAGUGUGCCCAUGCAGCUGAGAGGCAAUUCAAUCCCUAACUUGAUUCAUCAACCUGCUCACAAUCCGCAGCCCUGUGAGGAUGGUGAUCCGCGGAUGUGACAGGAUUUUCUAGAACCCAGAGGGCAUGUCCCUGGAAUAACUGACACAAAAAUCAUCCUUACUAAUUAUUCUAUAAUAACAUAAAAAAGAGCACUAUUGUAGAAUGUCAAAUUAUUUUGUUUGUUAGAAGGUAAACUCUUUUUGUAACAUGAAUAAACCCCUAAUAUACUUUAGUUGCAUAUUCUAGCUUCCAGAUACUAGGAUUUCUUAAAGCAGGGUCUACCUGGACUUAAUGAUACUAGUUGCUACAGGCAAUUCCCACCUCCUCACUCCAAGAUGAGAACAAGAUCUCCCAAGGAGCAUCCCAGCUAUGAACUCCAGUGUCUAAGGACACAUUACGGCAGCUGUCUGUUAAGAAGGCAAGCAAUAAAAUGUUCUAUAAAGGCACCCAGUUAAAUUUCCAAUUAAAAUGAUUUAGUGCCUUCAUUUUUUAAGUUUUCCCAAGGUUUGCUGAUGACUAAAAUUAUGUAAUGACUCUUUCAAGGUUUUAAAUCUGCUAAUUAAUCUCUGCACCUUUACAAUAACCCAGAGCAAUAAAAGGCACAAUGAAAAGGAGCAGAAUAAUGUACAAGCGGAUUAACCCUUGGGAAGCUGAUCUCUUUCAGCCUUGCUGGCUGGUGGUUUAAAGUGGGUCAGGAUAUCACAUGGCCACACAGGUAAUGGGCAACCUCAGAAGCAGUCUCAUUGGAUGGCAGCUGUGUCAGAACUGGUUCUGCU
ensembl:lincRNA